UUCUUUAUCAAAMUUUUAYARGMARCACCUGCUCAUGAAACUUAAAUAGCCGCGGAAAUUUAACUGUGCUAAGGUAGCAUAAUCAUUAGUCUUUUAAUUAAAGACUUGUAUGAAAGGUGAAACAUUUCGAUUUCUAUCUAAUUCUACUUAGUUAAAUUUAAAUUAAGAAUAAAAAUGUUCUUAUUUAAUAAAUAGACGAUAAGACCCUAUUGAACUUUACUCCUGUUUAGCUGGGGCAGCUAAAAAAUAAUAAUCUUUUAUUUAAUUUUAAUAUAGAUGACCCAAUAAAUUUGAUUACCCGAACAAGUUACCAUAGGGAUAACAGCGUAAUACCUUUUUAAAGCUCUUAUUUAAAAAGAAGAUUGCGACCUCGAUGUUGAAUUAAUGUUUCUUUAACGUGCAAUAACCUUAAAAGUAAGUCUSMYCGACUUUWKAAKYAWUACA
rnacentral:rRNA from 1 species